UCAAGAAACUUCCACAAUGGGCGAAAGCCUGAUGGAGCGACGUCGCGUGAUGGACGAAGUGCUUCGGCACGUAAACAUAUUUUAUGUGGGAUGAAAUUAUUGACAGUACCACAUGAAUAAGGGGCUCCUAACUCUGUGCCAGCAGGAGCGGUAAUACAGAGGCCCCAAGCGUUAUCCGGAAUCACUGGGCGUAAAGGGUGUCGAGGCGGUUGUAUUAGUCGUUCGUAAAAUCUACGAGCUUAACUUGUAGGCGGCGAACGAAACGGUACGACUUGAGGUUUGGAGAGGUGCGUGGAACUCACGGUGUAGGGGUGAAAUCCGUUGAUAUCGUGGGGAACACCAAAGGCGAAGGCAGCGCACUGGCCAAAAUCUGACGCUCACACACGAAAGCUAGGGUAGCGAAGAGGAUUAGAUACCCUCGUAGUCCCUGAGCGGGCUGGCAAGGCGCAU
rnacentral:rRNA from 1 species